UCAUUUUUAGCUUAAUAUAAAAGCACUUUACUGAAGAUAAAGAUUUCCUAUAUUCUACAUUACGAA
rnacentral:tRNA from 1 species